rnacentral:lncRNA from 1 species
UAUAGGGUCUCUACGGUCUCUAUAGGUCCAUAUAGGGUCCUAUGGGAUCCCUAUGGGGUCUCUAUGGUUCCCUAUAGGGUCUCUACGGUCCCUAUAUGUCCAUAUAGGGUCCCUAUGGGAACCCUAUAGGGUCUCUGCGGUCCCUAUGGGGUCCCUAUGGGGUCUCUAUGGGGUCCCUAUGUGUCCCUAUCGGAUCCCUACGGUUCCUAUAUGGCCCUACAGUCCCUAUAUGGCCCUAUGGUCCCUAUAGUGUCCCUAUAUGGCCCCCUAUAUCCCUAUGGGGUCCUUAUGGGGUCCCUCUGGUCCCUAUGGGGUCCCAAUGGUGUCCCUAAAUCCCUCGGUGUCCCUCUGUGUCCCUAUACGCCCCUAUAGGUCCCUAUGGUCCCCGUGGUGUCCCUAUAGGGUCCCAAUGGGGUCCCUAUGAUCCUUAUGGGGUCCCAAUGGGGUCCCAAUGGGGUCCCUAUGGUCCCUUUAUGUCCCAAUGUUGUCCCUAUGGGGUCCCAAUGGGAUCCCUACAGUGUCCCAAUGGUGUCCCUAUGGGGUCCCAAUGUUGUCCCUAUGGGGUCCCUAUGGGGGAGAUCCCAAUGUUGUCCCUAUGGGGGAUCCCAAUGUUGUCCCUAUGGGGUCCCUCUGGUGUCCCUAUGGGGUCCCCAUGGUCUCCCAACGGUGUUCCUAUGGUGUCCCUAU